rnacentral:rRNA from 1 species
GUGGGGAAUAUUGGACAAUGGGCGCAAGCCUGAUCCAGCCAUGCCGCGUGAGUGAUGAAGGCCUUAGGGUUGUAAAGCUCUUUCGUCAGGGAAGAUAAUGACGGUACCUGAAGAAGAAGCCCCGGCUAACUUCGUGCCAGCAGCCGCGGUAAUACGAAGGGGGCUAGCGUUGCUCGGAAUCACUGGGCGUAAAGCGCACGUAGGCGGCUUUCUAAGUCAGGGGUGAAAUCCUGGAGCUCAACUCCAGAACUGCCUUUGAUACUGGAGAGCUUGAGUUCGGGAGAGGUGAGUGGAACUGCGAGUGUAGAGGUGAAAUUCGUAGAUAUUCGCAAGAACACCAGUGGCGAAGGCGGCUCACUGGCCCGAUACUGACGCUGAGGUGCGAAAGCGUGGGGAGCAAACAGGAUUAGAAACCCUAGUAGGCC